rnacentral:rRNA from 1 species
AACACAUGCAAGUCGAGGGGCAGCAUGGUCUUAGCUUGCUAAGGCCGAUGGCGACCGGCGCACGGGUGAGUAACACGUAUCCAACCUGCCGUCUACUCUUGGACAGCCUUCUGAAAGGAAGAUUAAUACAAGAUGGCAUCAUGAGUUCACAUGUUCACAUGAUUAAAGGUAUUCCGGUAGACGAUGGGGAUGCGUUCCAUUAGAUAGUAGGCGGGGUAACGGCCCACCUAGUCUUCGAUGGAUAGGGGUUCUGAGAGGAAGGUCCCCCACAUUGGAACUGAGACACGGUCCAAACUCCUACGGGAGGCAGCAGUGAGGAAUAUUGGUCAAUGGGCGAGAGCCUGAACCAGCCAAGUAGCGUGAAGGAUGACUGCCCUAUGGGUUGUAAACUUCUUUUAUAAAGGAAUAAAGUCGGGUAUGGAUACCCGUUUGCAUGUACUUUAUGAAUAAGGAUCGGCUAACUCCGUGCCAGCAGCCGCGGUAAUACGGAGGAUCCGAGCGUUAUCCGGAUUUAUUGGGUUUAAAGGGAGCGUAGAUGGAUGUUUAAGUCAGUUGUGAAAGUUUGCGGCUCAACCGUAAAAUUGCAGUUGAUACUGGAUAUCUUGAGUGCAGUUGAGGCAGGCGGAAUUCGUGGUGUAGCGGUGAAAUGCUUAGAUAUCACGAAGAACUCCGAUUG